rnacentral:tRNA from 1 species
GCUCCCAUGGCGUAGUGGUCACUGCACUCGCCUUGCACGUAGGAGACCCGGGUUCGAUUCCCGGCGGGGUCA